rnacentral:lncRNA from 1 species
AACGUGGAAAGAUUGUCUAUGCACGCCAGUGUUGCGUUCAUUUCUCACUGUUCCACAGGUUUUUUCUCUGAUUUGAAUUAAGAGGAUGUAUAUUCGCUUUGAUUCAAAUUGAAUUAAGCUAGGUGUUAGCACGAGUAAGACACUUAGCACCCUAUUAGACGGAGGAAGAAUAGCAAUCUAAUUUAUCCCAACUUGGUUAUUUUAAUUAGGAAAAAUGUACAAAUUUGUUAAUGUGGGACACUACUAGAAAAAAGCGUUUUUCCGACUACCAUUUCCUACUACAAAUUGUCAGUCACAAUUUUCCAACUAAUGUAGUCGGAAAAUUUAUAUUUGUAUUUAUAUUUAUUUUUUAGAAUUUUGCUGACUACGUUUUCGACUACUAGUAUCGUCAAGUUUCGCGGAAUUUUUCGCGCAUAUACUUUUCCGACUAUUGCAGUCGGAACAUAACAUAUAAACAAUUUUCGACUACAGUAGUAAAAAUUUUUUAAAAUAAAAUUAAUUAAAUAAUAAUUUGUUUCCGACUAUAGUAGUCGGAACUUAGUCAGAUAUUAUUUAGCGACUACUGUAGUCGGAUAACUUAGUUAUUUUGGGCCGAAAUCCUUAUUUUUCUAAUUAUCUUUUCCUUUCCCACACUCUCUCUUCUCUCUCACAGCUCACGUCCCUUCUCUCUUCCAACGGCGUCUUCAGUGGUUGUGACCGGCGCCGCCGACAACGACGACGACUCAGGUGUGUCUCUCUGUGUCAAUUUAUACUCUUUUACCAUUAUACAACCUACUAUUUUCGUUUUCUAGAAAGUAAUGCUCCAAACUACACAUUGACCGCGUUGUAUUUUUCCCUCUUUGAUGAAAUUAGUACUUAUUAGUUUUUAUCUUUUCCACAAGAAUAACUUAGUAGUCUUUGUGUAUGGUGUUGGUAUUUAUCUUAGUUCUUGUAAUUUAGUCAAUUUAGUAGUCUUCUGUGAACUUUGCGGCUGGCUAUGGGCUGUGUGUUUAGUAUUUCUCUAAAUAUUUUAUGUACUUUGCGAUUGGCUAUUAUCAAAGUUGUGUAUAACACGCAACUUUGAUAGUACAAAAGAAACUAUGGGCCAUAAGACUUGAAUAAACUCGAGGCAUGACUUACAGUUGUAAUCACAAUCAUUAACCCACACCACUCUAUAGGUUGAAUUGAAAUCUACUCUUGACAAAGAUAAGUUUCUGAACCAAUGACACACAAAUCGUUCCAGCAUAGUUGUCCAUGUGAAGGCUAAACUUGUAUAGAUGCAGGUUGCCCACCUUAUUUGAUACCCAAACCUGAAGAUGUUGGUAUUGUACAUGUAAUGAAUAUCUCCCUCAUGUAUAAUAGAUGCAUGAUGUACGUGGGAGAUAUUCAUUACAUGAGGAGUUUCAUGUGAAUGUGGAGUUUCAUGUGACAAUUGUGUAUGGUUUACAUACGGUAAGUAACAUGAAAACAUUAUAGACUGAAUCUAUGCCUUGAAUGUGGAGUUUCAUGUGACAAUUGUGUAUGGUUUACAUACGGUAAGUAACAGGAAAACAUUAUAGACUGAAUUGAGAUCAAUUGCAAGUAUGCAGCAAUAUGGGUAUUCGUCAGUCGGUACGGUACGAUAGUUAGUCAUUUCAGUCCGUUAUUUUCAGUAUUCGAUUUCUUAAAAUGCUAUACAAAAUACCAUACCUAAUUACAUUCAAUAUGAUUUGGAUUUUCUCAUUUCGGUUUCGGUUUAUUCGGUCUGAUAAUUUUAGUUUAUUUGGCUUGAAUAUUAUCUAGUGCAUAAAGUCAUAGAUUGUAAUAUUCUUAAUUAAAGUAAUUAAUGAAAACGUUCUAAGCUAACAUGACUGUUGACAAAAUCUUUGUCAAAAGCCAUCAAGUAUCAGCUAAGAGAAAAAAGGUACAUAAAGGAAUACAUUUGAUCAUCAGAAUUGUCAUCUUAUUUGCUUGGAGUUAAUUGUUAAAAUUAGAGAAUACAACAACGAUUAAUCUUACAUAUGCAACAACAAUACAAGAAUAAUGGAGUAAAAAAUACCCUAAAACCGUUGAAACAUUACGUUAAACUUCUUGGAAACCUAGAGUGUAAAAAUUAGAAUCUGCAUCCUACCUUGUUCCUUCAUUUUCCUAAAGAAGUACAUGGGCUUUACUGCCAACCUCAACAUGAAUGCCACAGAAAAGUAUUGUGUAACUUAGUAUGUUAAUAAAUAAUAUCUGUAAUGCGAAUUUAGUAUAUAUUUCGGUAUUAUUUUUUUAAUACCAAAUACCAUACCUAAUAUCAAAUUAUUUUUAAAACUUAAACCAAAUACCAAAAUAUCGAAUACCAUAUACCAAAAUUUUUGAUUUCGGUACGGUAGUUCGAUAUUUAUCAUAUUAUGCACGGCCCUAUGCAACAAGGAGCUUGGAUCAUAGUGGGUGAUUUUAAUGCCAUUAAACAUCUUGAUGACACACUAAAUGGGAACCUAGUUCAGGAGUUUGAGGUAGCUGACUUUCAUAAAUUUUUGGUGGACACUAAUACGGCAAAACUAAAGACAACUGGGAGGAGGUACACCUGGAUUAAUAAUCACACACAUAGCAAAAUCGAUUAGGUAUUGGUAAAUAGUGACUGGAUCAACAGAUGGACACAUUUGGAAGCUAUUGCUCUUGAUUCGGGAUUUUCAUAUCACAUACUGUUAGCUGUUGAAUUUACAAAUAUCCCUAUAAAGGGUACCAGACCAUUUUGGAUUUUUAACCAUUUGGUUCAACAUCCCAAUUUCCUAUCUCAUGUGGGCACUAAUAGAACAAUGGAAGGUAUAAAUAGGGAAUGCAAGGUAUCUGGACUAAAUUGCAAAAGGUGAACACAAGGAUUGAAAUUGAACUCUAAGGAGUAUUCAAAGAUUGAUGAAAAGGUGGAGAAAUAUAGGAACUCUUGGCUGACCUUCAAGUUCAAACAAGAGAUCCAAAUGAACAUGUGGCACUAGCUGAGCGGGAAAGGAAGUGAAACUGCAGCUAGAAAAACGGAAAUCAAUAUAUGAGAGCAUCCUCAAGCAGAAAUCAAGAGCUAAAUGGCUACAUCUAGGGGACUCCAACAAUGCAUAUUUCCUUUUUUGUAUGAAGCACAGGGUGGCUCAGAAUCAGAUAAGAAGACUGAUUACACUACAUGGUAACAUUGCACAUCCAGAAAGAGAUGUAAAGGUAGAAAUUAUUAAGUUCUACCAGAAUCUGUUAGGCUCUGCUACUGCAUGCUUGCCUACUGUUCAAUUGGAUAUUUUUCAGGAAGGGCAUAAACUUAGUAGAGAUCAACAACUGCAGUUAAUCUUACCUAUAAAUACUGAGGAAAUAUUUAAUGCCUUGAUGAUCAUUGAUGAGCAGAAGGCCCCCCGUCACGAUGACUUUAAUGCACACCUCUUUAAAGAAACCUGAAAGAUUAUUGGAGAAGAAAUUUUUGAGACAGUUGUUGAGUUUCUCAAGACAGGAAACAUGCACAGCCCCAUCAAUUGCACUUCAGUGACUCUCAUUCCUAAAGUAAGGAACCCCGUUAAUAUGAAAGAGUUUAGGCAUAUCUCUUGCUGCUCUGUGCUAUAAAAAAUUAUAUUCAAGGUGAGUACUAAGAGAAUGCAAUUCAUUAUGCCUAAUUUAGUUGACAACAAUCAAGCUGUAUUUGUUCUAUACAAAAUUAUAUCCAAGGUGAGUAAUAAGAGAAUGCAAUUCAUUAUGCCUAAUUUAGUUGACAACAGUCAAGCUGUAUUUAUGCCAAGAAGAGUUAUUACAGAUAAUAUCAUCUUGGGACAUUAACUUGCCAAAGCUUAUGGUAGGAAAGAGAUAUCUCUCAAAUGUAUGCUUAAAAUUGAUAUGCAAAAGGCAUAUGAUUAUGUAGAAUGGGACUUCAUUGAGAAAGUACUACAAGGUCUGCACUUUCCAACAAAGUUUAUAAGUUGGAUAAUGACCUGCCUGAAAAUAAUGUCCUAUUCAAUCAAUAUAAAUGGCAAACCUAGUAGACCAUUUGCAGCAAAGAGUGGAUUUAGACAGGGGAUCCAAUAUCCCCCUAUUUAUUUGUGCUUGUGAUGGAGAACUUGAGCAGACUACUCAAAAACAUGAUCAACAAUCCAACAUUUAAGUUUCACCCUAAGUGUGCUAAAAUUAAGAUUGCUCAGUGGUAAAGGGUGAAAAAUACAUAUUUUGAGUAUAUUUGUGUAAUAUUUCUUGUGUGAGUUGCGGGAAUUUACACCGCUUUUGAAGAAAAAAUAAGCUCAGUAUGUGUUUCUCAUGUGUAGGAACGAACUUGUGCGGAGAAGGAUCAAAUAGGAGAAAAAAUAGCAAAAAACAAAUUUAAAGAGAGAAAUCUGGGACCGCGAAUCGAGGCUUGCUUCUCCAGACUGGGACUGGAGCAGAAGAAAUCAGCUUCUCCAAUCCGAAUUAGGAGAGGCCAAAUUCGCCCCAACUCAACCCUAAACCAUAUAAAUAUGAGAGUUAGCUACUUUUUGAAGGGAAAGAAGCCUUUGAGGAGGCAAGAACACACUUGGAGCAGGGAGAAGAAUUCAACUUCACGUUUUUUCCUCUUUCUUCCAAUUUUCUAUUAUUGGUUAUGAAUUUUAGUAUUGUAGUUUUACAUACUAUUAUGAAUAGCUAAUUUAUUAUCUUGGGUUUUGAU